rfam:Ornithorhynchus anatinus chromosome X5, whole genome shotgun sequence.
UCCCUCUCAGGGUUGCACCUGGAGAGUUUCCAGUACUCUACCAGUCUCAACUAUGGGAGGGAGAGUCAAGCAGAGGCAUGCUCAUUCCAUUCCUAGUUUAGCCAGUGGCUAGCGAGUGAAAGGAAAUCUGCUACAAGU